rnacentral:rRNA from 1 species
UACGUAGGGUGCAAGCGUUGUCCGGAAUUAUUGGGCGUAAAGAGCUCGUAGGCGGCUUGUCGCGUCGGCUGUGAAAACCUGGGGCUCAACCCCGGGCCUGCAGCCGAUACGGGCAAGCUAGAAUUCGGUAGGGGAGACUGGAAUUCAUGGUGUAGCAGUGAAAUGCGUAGAGAUCAUGAGGAAGACCAGUGGCGAAGGCGGGUCUCUGGACAGUUCCUGACACUGAGACACGAAGGCCAGGGGAGCAAACGGG